rnacentral:rRNA from 1 species
ACUCCUACGGGAGGCAGCAGUGGGGAAUAUUGCACAAUGGGCGCAAGCCUGAUGCAGCCAUGCCGCGUGUAUGAAGAAGGCCUUCGGGUUGUAAAGUACUUUCAGCAGUGAGGAAGGUGGGUAUGUUAAUAGCAUAUUCAUUUGACGUUAGCUGCAGAAGAAGCACCGGCUAACUCCGUGCCAGCAGCCGCGGUAAUACGGAGGGUGCGAGCGUUAAUCGGAAUUACUGGGCGUAAAGCGCAUGCAGGUGGUUUGUUAAGUCAGAUGUGAAAGCCCGGGGCUCAACCUCGGAAUUGCAUUUGAAACUGGCAAACUAGAGUACUGUAGAGGGGGGUAGAAUUUCAGGUGUAGCGGUGAAAUGCGUAGAGAUCUGAAGGAAUACCGGUGGCAAGGCGGCCCCCUGGACAGAUACUGACACUCAGAUGCGAAAGCGUGGGGAGCAAACAGGAUUAGAUACCCUGGUAGCACAGAG